ACUCCUACGGGAGGCAGCAGUGGGGAAUAUUGCACAAUGGGCGCAAGCCUGAUGCAGCCAUGCCGCGUGUAUGAAGAAGGCCUUCGGGUUGUAAAGUACUUUCAGCAGUGAGGAAGGUGGGUAUGUUAAUAGCAUAUCAUUUGAUCGUUAUGCUGCAGAAGAAGCACCGGCUAACUCCGUGCCAGCAGCCGCGGUAAUACGGAGGGUGC
rnacentral:rRNA from 1 species